rnacentral:misc_RNA from 1 species
GUUCCGUAGGUGAACCUGCGGAAGGAUCAUUAUUGUAUAACCGAGGUGCGAGGGCUGUCGCUGACCCGAAAGGUCGUGCACGCCCGAGUGCCCUCACACACAUCCAUCUUACCCCUAUGUGCACCACCGCGUGGGUCCCCCUUUGGCUUGUUCGGAGGGGGGCUUACGUUUUCACACAAACUUUGUAUGCAGUGUAGAAUGUAUUUUUUGUUUUUGCGAUCACGCAAUCAAUACAACUUUCAACAACGGAUCUCUUGGCUCUC